UGGGGAAUUUUGGACAAUGGGCGAAAGCCUGAUCCAGCAAUGCCGCGUGUGUGAAGAAGGCCUUCGGGUUGUAAAGCACUUUUGUCCGGAAAGAAAUCCUUGGCUCUAAUACAGUCGGGGGAUGACGGUACCGGAAGAAUAAGCACCGGCUAACUACGUGCCAGCAGCCGCGGUAAUACGUAGGGUGCAAGCGUUAAUCGGAAUUACUGGGCGUAAAGCGUGCGCAGGCGGUUUGCUAAGACCGAUGUGAAAUCCCCGGGCUCAACCUGGGAACUGCAUUGGUGACUGGCAGGCUAGAGUAUGGCAGAGGGGGGUAGAAUUCCACGUGUAGCAGUGAAAUGCGUAGAGAUGUGGAGGAUACCGAUGGCGAAGGCAGCCCCCUGGGCCAAUACUGACGCUCAUGCACG
rnacentral:rRNA from 1 species